rnacentral:rRNA from 1 species
AUGGAUUUGAAUCCACAAGUUCUAUGUUGGAACAUGAGGGGGCUAAAUAAUCCCGCCAAAAGAAAAGCAGUUAGAGAGUUUGUGGUCGUGGCUAAGGUUAAUCUUGUAUGCCUUCAAGAAACUAAGCUUGAAGCUUUUGAUCCUUAUUUGGUAAUGCAAUGCAUCGGGCCAUCGUUUGAUGGUUUCGCUUACUUGCCCACUUCCGAUACUAGAGGGGGCAUUCUUUUGGGUUGGGAUAGCUCGUUCUUGGAGAUCAAUAACAUCACUCGGGACACAAACUUCCUUUCGGGUCUGGUGCGCAACAAAGAUGGUUUUGAAUGGUGGUUAUCGGCUGUGUACGGACUGUUGGAAAUAUGCCCUAGAGGUAAUAAUAAAUUAGUUAUUAUUAUAUUUCCUUGUUCAUGA